rnacentral:pre_miRNA from 1 species
UUAACUCAAAUUUGUAUGGAUUUCGAACGUUUGCCUAGCUUUGCCGCUAAGGGCGCUGUACCAACUGCAUACAAAUUCGAGUUA